rnacentral:rRNA from 1 species
UACGGAGGGUGCAAGCGUUAUCCGGAUUCACUGGGUUUAAAGGGUGCGUAGGUGGGUCUGUAAGUCCGUGGUGAAAUCUCCGAGCUUAACUUGGAAACUGCCAUGGAUACUAUAGAUCUUGAAUACUGUGGAGGUUAGCGGAAUAUGUCAUGUAGCGGUGAAAUGCUUAGAUAUGACAUAGAACACCAAUUGCGAAGGCAGCUUGCUACACAGUUAUUGACGCUGAGGCACGAAAGCGUGGGGAUCAAACAGG